rnacentral:rRNA from 1 species
ACGAACGCUGGCGGCGUGCCUAAUACAUGCCAGUAGAACGCUGAAGGAGGAGCUUGCUUCUCCGGAUGAGUUGCGAACGGGUGAGUAACGCGUAGGUAACCUGCCUGGUAGCGGGGGAUAACUAUUGGAAACGAUAGCUAAUACCGCAUAAGAGUAGAUGUCGCAUGACAUUUGCUUAAAAGGUGCAACUGCACCACUACCAGAUGGACCUGCGUUGUAUUAGCUAGUUGGUGAGGUAACGGCUCACCAAGGCAACGAUACAUAGCCGACCUGAGAGGGUGAUCGGCCACACUGGGACUGAGACACGGCCCAGACUCCUACGGGAGGCAGCAGUAGGGAAUCUUCGGCAAUGGACGGAAGUCUGACCGAGCAACGCCGCGUGAGUGAAGAAGGUUUUCGGAUCGUAAAGCUCUGUUGUAAGAGAAGGACGAGUGUGAGAGUGGAAAGUUCACACUGUGACGGUAUCUUACCAGAAAGAGACGGCUAACUACGUG